GACCAGUCUCUCCGUGC
rnacentral:misc_RNA from 1 species